rnacentral:lncRNA from 1 species
UCUAACACCAUAAUACACAACAAUAACACAAUCGAAAAUGACCUACAAUCGCACAAAACUUCAAGAGCACUUACCAAUCACAAACCGAGCAGGAAUUACAAAACCAAAAAGUAGAUAUUGACGAUAAUUUUUGAAUGAAAAAAGAGAAGGUAGCAAAAGAAAGAAAAAAAUGAAAGUGUAAAGAAAGGGGAGAACAAACUGACGUCAGUUUCUUUUUGGAAGAGAGAGAACAAAC